rnacentral:rRNA from 1 species
GACGAACGCUGGCGGCGUGCUUAACACAUGCAAGUCGAACGGAAAUGCCCUGCUUUUGUGGGGUGCUCGAGUGGCUAACGGGUUAGUAACACGUGAGUAACCUGCCCUUGACUUUGGGAUAACUUCAGGAAACUGGGGCUAAUACCGGAUAGGAGCUCCUGCUGCAUGGUGGGGGUUGGAAAGUUUCGGCGGUUGGGGAUGGACUCGCGUCUUAUCAGCUUGUUGGUGGGGUAGUGGCUUACCAAGGCUUUGACGGGUAGCCGGCCUGAGAGGGUGACCGGCCAAAUUGGGACUGAGAUACGGCCCAGACUCCUAAGGGAGGCAGCAGUGGGGAAUAUUGCACAAUGGGCGGAAGCCUGAUGCAGCAACGCCGCGUGAGGGAUGACGGCCUUCGGGUUGUAAACCGCUUUCGCCUGUGACGAAGCGUGAGUGACGGUAAUGGGUAAAGAAGCACCGGCUAGCUACGUG